CCCAGAUUCCUCCUCAUACCUUUCUAGACCAUCUCCCAAAGCCCCCAGCCUUUAGCCUGCUGCCUGCAUCUUCCCUGUGUCUCCCUGAAGCCGAACAGCUUCCCCAUGCUCUGGGAGUUGAUCUUUUCCCAAGAACUCCCCUCCCCAACUCCAUUCCACCCCCAAUCCGCUUCCUCCCUCCGCAGAUUGACCCUCCUCCCUCCUUGUUCUCAAGCCCCCUGCUCUGUUUCUCUAGCUCCUCAACUUUUCUCUUUCCCCACUCCCACUCCUCCCAAGGAAACACGCCCUAAACUGCCACCGAAUGAAGCCUGCUCUCUUUAGUGUCCUGUGUGAAAUCAAGGAGAAAACCGGCCUCAGCAUUCGGAGCUCCCAGGAGGAGGAGCCGGUGGACCCACAGCUGAUGCGCUUGGACAACAUGCUUCUGGCAGAGGGUGUGGCUGGGCCUGAGAAAGGGGGCGGCUCAGCAGCAGCAGCUGCAGCCGCUGCAGCCUCUGGGGGCAGCGUGUCCCCUGACAACUCCAUCGAACACUCGGACUAUCGCAGCAAACUUGCCCAGAUCCGUCACAUAUACCACU
rnacentral:sRNA from 1 species